rnacentral:lncRNA from 1 species
CUUGGCUUAAAAUUCUUACCUUGAGUUGGGAUGAGCUUAAUUGUAUAUGAUGAAAAGGUUCAAGUUUGGGGUUGUAUGGGGGAAAAAUGGAAGGCAAAUGAAAAGCAUUGAGCUCAACUGUUGCGAAAAGAAAAAUUCAUGAGAAAAGGAAAAGAAAAGAAGAAAAGCAUGAACAUGAGCUCAAUGAAAAAAAAGGGAAAAAGUUGGGGAUGAGAGAGAUUGGUGAAGAAGAGAGUUGUGCUUAAAUGUUGAAUAUUUUGAUAGCUCUCUUGACUCAAGGAUUUUGCAUUCCAGAAAAACCAAUUCUUCUUGUUAGCCCAACCUCAUUACAAGCCUUGAAAAGUCCUUUUGAUGGCAUUUGCAUUUAAAGAUGUUGAUUGUUUGAGAUGACUGGCAAUUUUGUUUCAUGUGACUUAUGAACAAUAGAGAGUUGGAGUGUCACCUUAAACACUUGAGUGGUUGAGUGAAACACUUG